GAGUUUGAUCCUGGCUCAGGAUGAACGCUGGCGGCGUGCCUAAUACAUGCAAGUCGAGCGAACAGAUAAGGAGCUUGCUCCUUUGAAGUUAGCGGCGGACGGGUGAGUAACACGUGGGUAACCUACCUAUAAGACUGGGAUAACUUCGGGAAACCGGAGCUAAUACCGGAUAACAUUUAGAACCGCAUGGUUCUAAAGUGAAAGAUGGUUUUGCUAUCACUUAUAGAUGGACCCGCGCCGUAUUAGCUAGUUGGUAAGGUAACGGCUUACCAAGGCGACGAUACGUAGCCGACCUGAGAGGGUGAUCGGCCACACUGGAACUGAGACACGGUCCAGACUCCUACGGGAGGCAGCAGUAGGGAAUCUUCCGCAAUGGGCGAAAGCCUGACGGAGCAACGCCGCGUGAGUGAUGAAGGGUUUCGGCUCGUAAAACUCUGUUAUUAGGGAAGAACAAAUGUGUAAGUAACUGUGCACAUCUUGACGGUACCUAAUCAGAAA
rnacentral:rRNA from 1 species